CUGGUCGGACAUCAGGAGGUUAGUGCAAUGGCAUAAGCCAGCUUGACUGCGAGCGUGACGGCGCGAGCAGGUGCGAAAGCAGGUCAUAGUGAUCCGGUGGUUCUGAAUGGAAGGGCCAUCGCUCAACGGAUAAAAGGUACUCCGGGGAUAACAGGCUGAUACCGCCCAAGAGUUCAUAUCGACGGCGGUGUUUGGCACCUCGAUGUCGGCUCAUCACAUCCUGGGGCUGAAGUAGGUCCCAAGGGUAUGGCUGUUCGCCAUUUAAAGUGGUACGCGAGCUGGGUUUAGAACGUCGUGAGACAGUUCGGUCCCUAUCUGCCGUGGGCGCUGGAGAAUUGAGGGGGGCUGCUCCUAGUACGAGAGGACCGGAGUGGACGCAUCACUGGUGUUCGGGUUGUCAUGCCAAUGGCACUGCCCGGUAGCUAAAUGCGGAAGAGAUAAGUGCUGAAAGCAUCUAAGCACGAAACUUGCCCCGAGAUGAGUUCUCCCUGACUCCUUGAGAGUCCUGAAGGAACGUUGAAGACGACGACGUUGAUAGGCCGGGUGUGUAAGCGCAGCGAUGCGUUGAGCUAACCGGUACUAAUGAACCGUGAGG
rnacentral:rRNA from 1 species